CUUGUACAUCGUGUACUUCUUUAAAGCAUAAAGUCUGCCUGUAAAACACAGACUACCUGCUCCACGUACACGAACCAGCGAGUUAAAUUCUGGGAACUAAAACAAACAGCUUGGAGGUACGUCAUGUGACCACCACAGGAGCUUUUCAGAUUUAUGACAAUCUACGCAUUGAGAAUUCAGGUGGCCUAGCAUAUGGAGACUUUCAGGAGAGACCCACCCCGAGGAGAAUUAAUAACAGACAAGGAAGCCAAUGAAGUCUUAGAGUGGUUUGCAUCAUCGUGCCCUACUGGUUCCCUGAGGACGCACGUAAAAGGGCCUAGAGAUACGACCGCCCGUCAGAGCGCAACAUGAUGGCUGUCAUUCAGAAGUGAGACGAUGACUUCACUUGUGUCCUUACCCUGCUGAGAAGAAGACCUGAGACGUACCAGUGUCAACGGCACCGCCACGUUGCCAGCCUUAACGCAGAGGAGUGCGA